GGUUAAGCGACUAAGCGUACACGGUGGAUGCCUAGGCAAUCAGAGGCGAUGAAGGACGUGCUAAUCUGCGAAAAGCGUCGGUAAGGUGAUAUGAACCGUUAUAACCGACGAUGUCCGAAUGGGGAAACCCAGUGCAAUUCGUUGCACUAUCGUUUGAUGAAUCCAUAGUCAAACGAGGCGAACCGGGGGAACUGAAACAUCUCAGUACCCCGAGGAAAAGAAAUCAACCGAGAUUCCCCUAGUAGCGGCGAGCGAACGGGGAGCAGCCCAGAGUCUUAAUCAGCAUCAGCAUCAGGAGAACGGUCUGGAAAGGCCGGCAAUAAAGGGUGAUAGCCCCGUAUCCGAAGGUGUUGGUGUUGUGAACUCGACGAGUAGGGCGGGACACGUGUUAUCCUGUCUGAAUAUGGGGGGACCAUCCUCCAAGGCUAAAUACUCCUGAUUGACCGAUAGUGAACCAGUACCGUGAGGGAAAGGCGAAAAGAACCCCGGCGAGGGGAGUGAAAUAGAACCUGAAACCGUGUACGUACAAGCAGUGGGAGCCUUGAUUUAUCAGGGUGACUGCGUACCUUUUGUAUAAUGGGUCAGCGACUUAUAUUCUGUAGCAAGGUUAACCGAAUAGGGGAGCCGUAGGGAAACCGAGUCUUAACUGGGCGAAUGAGUUGCAGGGUAUAGACCCGAAACCCGGUGAUCUAGCCAUGGGCAGGUUGAAGGUUGGGUAACACUAACUGGAGGACCGAACCGACUAAUGUUGAAAAAUUAGCGGAUGACUUGUGGCUGGGGGUGAAAGGCCAAUCAAACCGGGAGAUAGCUGGUUCUCCCCGAAAGCUAUUUAGGUAGCGCCUCGUGAACUCAUCUUCGGGGGUAGAGCACUGUUUCGGCUAGGGGGUCAUCCCGACUUACCAACCCGAUGCAAACUACGAAUACCGAAGAAUGUUAUCACGGGAGACACACGGCGGGUGCUAACGUUCGUCGUGAAGAGGGAAACAACCCAGACCGCCAGCUAAGGUCCCAAAGUCAUGGUUAAGUGGGAAACGAAGUGGGAAGGCUCAGACAGCCAGGAUGUUGGCUUAGAAGCAGCCAUCAUUUAAAGAAAGCGUAAUAGCUCACUGGUCGAGUCGGCCUGCGCGGAAGAUGUAACGGGGCUAAACCAUGCACCGAAGCUGCGGCAGCGACAUGUAAAUGUUGUUGGGUAGGGGAGCGUUCUGUAAGCCUGUGAAGGUGUGCUGCGAGGCAUGCUGGAGGUAUCAGAAGUGCGAAUGCUGACAUAAGUAACGAUAAUGCGGGUGAAAAACCCGCACGCCGGAAGACCAAGGGUUCCUGUCCAACGUUAAUCGGGGCAGGGUGAGUCGACCCCUAAGGCGAGGCAGAAAUGCGUAGUCGAUGGGAAACAGGUUAAUAUUCCUGUACUGGUGAUAAUUGCGAUGGGGGGACGGAGAAGGCUAGGCUGGCCGGGCGACGGUUGUCCCGGUUUAAGGAUGUAGGUGGGUGAAUUAGGCAAAUCCGGUUCGCUAUACACUGAGGUCUGAUGACGAGUCACUACGGUGGCGAAGUAGCUCAUGCCCCGCUUCCAGGAAAAGCCUCUAAGCUCUAGAUUAUCAUUAAUCGUACCCCAAACCGACACAGGUGGUCAGGUAGAGAAUACUCAGGCGCUUGAGAGAACUCGGGUGAAGGAACUAGGCAAAAUGGUGCCGUAACUUCGGGAGAAGGCACGCUGGCAUUAGGUGAAGUGGUUUACCCAUGGAGCCGAAGCCAGUCGCAGAUACCAGCUGGCUGCAACUGUUUAUUAAAAACACAGCACUGUGCAAACACGAAAGUGGACGUAUACGGUGUGACGCCUGCCCGGUGCUGGAAGGUUAAUUGAUGGGGUUAUCCGUAAGGAGAAGCUCUUGAUCGAAGCCCCAGUAAACGGCGGCCGUAACUAUAACGGUCCUAAGGUAGCGAAAUUCCUUGUCGGGUAAGUUCCGACCUGCACGAAUGGCGUAAUGAUGGCCAGGCUGUCUCCACCCGAGACUCAGUGAAAUUGAACUCGCUGUGAAGAUGCAGUGUACCCGCGGCAAGACGGAAAGACCCCGUGAACCUUUACUAUAGCUUGACACUGAACAUUGAGCCUUGAUGUGUAGGAUAGGUGGGAGGCUUUGAAGUGUGGACGCCAGUCUGCAUGGAGCCAACCUUGAAAUACCACCCUUUAAUGUUUGAUGUUCUAACGUAGCCCCAUAAUCUGGGGUGCGGACAGUGUCUGGUGGGUAGUUUGACUGGGGCGGUCUCCUCCCAAAGCGUAACGGAGGAGCACGAAGGUUGGCUAAGCAUGGUCGGACAUCAUGCGGUUAGUGCAAAGGCAUAAGCCAGCUUGACUGCGAGAGUGACGGCUCGAGCAGGUACGAAAGUAGGUCUUAGUGAUCCGGUGGUUCUGAAUGGAAGGGCCAUCGCUCAACGGAUAAAAGGUACUCCGGGGAUAACAGGCUGAUACCGCCCAAGAGUUCAUAUCGACGGCGGUGUUUGGCACCUCGAUGUCGGCUCAUCACAUCCUGGGGCUGAAGUAGGUCCCAAGGGUAUGGCUGUUCGCCAUUUAAAGUGGUACGCGAGCUGGGUUUAGAACGUCGUGAGACAGUUCGGUCCCUAUCUGCCGUGGGCGUUGGAAGAUUGAAAGGGGCUGCUCCUAGUACGAGAGGACCGGAGUGGACGCACCGCUGGUGUUCGGGUUGUCAUGCCAAUGGCACUGCCCGGUAGCUAAGUGCGGAAGAGAUAACCGCUGAAAGCAUCUAAGCGGGAAACUUGCCUUGAGAUGAGUCUUCCCUGACCCUUUAAGGGUCCUAAAGGAACGUUUAAGACGAAGACGUUGAUAGGCUGGGUGUGUAAGCGUAGCGAUACGUUGAGCUAACCAGUACUAAUGAACCGUGAGGCUUAACCUG
rnacentral:rRNA from 1 species